GAACAUGGGUAAAUUGACAUACAAAACAUCCCAAGAUUUACGCCCAUUGGUUGAGAGAGAGGAAGGUAAUAAUUGCAAGAGAGAGCCAAUAGGUUAAACAGCAAGCAUGAGGAAUGUUCAUUAUUGUGCUGUGCUUAUAGGCUGUAAGGUUAAUAGGUGAAUGAUAUUCCACACGUGGCUAGUAGGAAAGAAGAGAAGAAACCAGUCGCUAUGCUGAUGAUAUGUUUGUAUUCAUUCCCGGUAUGCCCGUAGAAUAGGAAACAGCAGUGAAUGAUGUUAUGCUAACUGGAUGCAGUUAAAGAAGAAUUCAGUGCAGCCUUCCUGAUAGAACUUUCGUAAGCUAUAUUUGAAUCGCCUAACUUUAAGCUAAAUGUCCAAAAUGAAAACAAAUAGAGUGAAGAAGGUAGAUAGUUUGUGUUCUGUGGGGGAGACCUGUUUGGGUAGCCUACCUGAUUGGUUGAUUGUUUGUCUGAUAGGUAGUAGGCCUUCAGCUCUCCUAUAUUUACCCUCAUCUCUUUCCCUAGUCUUAAUAUCUUCUAUCCUAUCCACUCUAACCGGAAGAUGAGUACCCCCUCUCUCCCUUCCUCCUUCCCCCACCCCUCUCUCUCACUAACUACCUUCAGGUCUUAGGUCAGUGUACAGGAUGGAGUGUUAGAUCAGUGGAGACAGUGUAUAGUGCUGUAGAUGGGGUGUUAGAUCCGUGGAGACAGUGUAUAGUGCUGUAGAUGGGGUGUUAGAUCAGUGGAGACAGUGUAGAGUGCUGUAGAUGGAAUAUUAGAUCAGUGGAGACAGUAUAGAGUGCUGUAGAAGGGGUGUUAGAUCAAUGGAGACAGUGUAGAGUGCAGUAGAUGGAAUAUUAGAUCAGUGGAGACAGUGUAGAGUGCUGUAGAUGGAAUAUUAGAUCAGUGGAGACAGAGUAGAGUGCUGUAGGUGGAAUAUUAGAUCAGUGGAGACAGUGUAGAGAGCUGUAGGUGGAAUAUUAGAUCAGUGGAGACAGUGUAGAGUGCUGUAAAUUGAAUAUUAGAUCAGUGGAGACAGUGUAGAGUGCUGUAGAUGGAAUAUUAGAUCAGUGGAGACAGUGUAGAGUGCUGUAGGUGGAAUAUUAGAUCAGUGGAGACAGUGUAGAGUGCUGUAGAUGGAAUAUUAGAUCAGUGGAGACAGUGUAGAGUGCUGUAGAUGGGGUGUUAGAUCAGUGGAAACAGUGUAGAGUGCUGUAGAUGGAAUAUUAGAUCAGUGGAGACAGUGUAGAGUGCUGUAGAUGGAAUAUUAGAUCAGUUGAGACAGUGUAGAGUGCUGUAGGUGGAAUAUUAGAUCAGUGAAGACAGUGUAGAGUGCUGUAGAUGGAAUAUUAGAUCAGUGGAGACAGUGUAGAGUGCUGUAGAUUGAAUAUUAGAUCAGUGG
ensembl:lncRNA